GUGUAGGGGUACCAGGUAGUUGAUGUGUAGGGGUACCAGGUAGUUGAUGUGUAGGGGUACUAGGUAGUUGAUGUGUAGGGGUACUAGGUAGUUGAUGUGUAGGGGUACCAGGUAGUUGAUGUGUAGGGGUACUAGGUAGUUGAUGUGUAGGGGUACUAGGUAGUUGAUGUGUAGGGGUACGGGGUAGUUGAUGUGUAGGGGUACCAGGUAGUUGAUGUGUAGGGGUACCAGGUAGUUGAUGUGUAGGGGUACUAGGUAGUUGAUGUGUAGGGGUACUAGGUAGUUGAUGUGUAGGGGUACCAGGUAGUUGAUGUGUAGGGGUACCAGGUAGUUGAUGUGUAGGGGUACCAGGUAGUUGAUGUGUAGGGGUACCAGGUAGUUGAUGUGUAGGGGUACUAGGUAGUUGAUGUGUAGGGGUACUAGGUAGUUGAUGUGUAGGGGUACGAGGUAGUUGAUGUGUAGGGGUACCAGGUAGUUGAUGUGUAGGGGUACCAGGUAGUUGAUGUGUAGGGGUACCAGGUAGUUGAUGUGUAGGGGUACCAGGUAGUUGAUGUGUAGGGGUACGAGGUAGUUGAUGUGUAGGGGUACGAGGUAGUUGAUGUGUAGGGGUACGAGGUAGUUGAUGUGUAGGGGUACGAGGUAGUUGAUGUGUAGGGGUACGAGGUAGUUGAUGUGUAGGGGUAUGAGGUAGUUGAUGUGUAGGGGUACCAGGUAGUUGAUGUGUAGGGGUACCAGGUAGUUGAUGUGUAGGGGUACGGGGUAGUUGAUGUGUAGGGGUACGAGGUAGUUGAUGUGUAGGGGUACGGGGUAGUUGAUGUGUAGGGGUACCAGGUAGUUGAUGUGUAGGGGUACUAGGUAGUUGAUGUGUAGGGGUACUAGGUAGUUGAUGUGUAGGGGUACUAGGUAGUUGAUGUGUAGGGGUACUAGGUAGUUGAUGUGUAGGGGUACUAGGUAGUUGAUGUGUAGGGGUACGGGGUAGUUGAUGUGUAGGGGUACUAGGUAGUUGAUGUGUAGGGGUACCAGGUAGUUGAUGUGUAGGGGUACCAGGUAGUUGAUGUGUAGGGGUACUAGGUAGUUGAUGUGUAGGGGUACGGGGUAGUUGAUGUGUAGGGGUACGGGGUAGUUGAUGUGUAGGGGUACGGGGUAGUUGAUGUGUAGGGGUACCAGGUAGUUGAUGUGUAGGGGUAGUUGAUGUGUAGGGGUACUAGGUAGUUGAUGU